UCCUUAGAUGUCCUGGGCCGCACGCGUGCUACACUGAUGCAUACAGCGAGUACUCCCAGCUCCGAGAGGCUGCUGGUAAUCAGCAAUAUGCAUCGUGAUGGGGAUAGAUCUUUGGAAUUAUAGAUCUUGAACGAGGAAUUCCUAGUAAUCGCAGGUCAUCACCCUGCGUUGACUAAGUCCCUGCCCUUUGUACACACCGCCCGUCGCUCCUACCGAUUUCGAGUGAUCCGGUGAAUCAUUCGGACCGCGGCCCCUAGGCAUGCGGAAAGUCUAGUAAACCAUAUCACUUAGAGGAAGGAGAAGUCGUAACA
rnacentral:rRNA from 1 species